UACGGAGGGGGUUAGCGUUGUUCGGAAUGACUGGGCGUAAAGCGCGCGUAGGCGGAUCAGGAAGUUGGGGGUGAAAUCCCGGGGCUCAACCCCGGAAUGGCCUUCAAAACUCCUGGUCUUGAGUUCGAGAGAGGUGAGUGGAAUUCCGAGUGUAGAGGUGAAAUUCGUAGAUAUUCGGAGGAACACCAGUGGCGAAGGCGGCUCACUGGCUCGACACUGACGCUGAGGUGCGACAGCGUGGGGAGCAAACAGG
rnacentral:rRNA from 1 species